GUGCAGCUUUAAAAUACUUUGCAGAAAACAAAACGAAUGUUUUACUUCUACAUAAAACAGAUACAGCUAUACUAAAAUUAGUCACAUAAAACAGCCAGUGGAUUCAUCUGUAUGGAACCUUUUUGGAAAAUGCUUUGUACUGGAUCUCUGCAGAGGUAUCCGGGUCAAACCGCGUGUACUAUUGAUUAAGGACUGAGGAAAAAACCCUGAAAACCUCCCUUGACAGAGAUAUUCAAGGAAGAAUAUUAGCAUGGAGAUAAAGCAAGGUCUCUCGCAUCUCCUUCCUUCCUGAACAACCACUGCAGUCUUUAAACAAAAGAUGCCAGUAAACUGCGGCGCUUUAUGGCGCUGAACUGCACAGCCACAAGAGGGGGUUUGAAGAACGCGAUCUGCUUCCCGCUGCCAGCCUGAGCCUGCCCUUCUGCGCACGGCCUGUUAGAAGAAACAUGAAACCAGCGAUUUCCUGAAAUGACUGAAAUUUUCAGUCAUUUUUCAAAUGACUCCUUCAGUCACUCAUUUGGUAAAAUGACUAAAAGUUUCACGUGUUCUACAAAGUGACUGACGUGCUGCAAAUUCCGCCAGUCUGUUUGACUGCUUGUUUCCCCCAGUAGCAGGCAUAUUGUGAAAAGGGGUGUUAUUGGAUAAGGAUCCUUUGCUUUUUUCUUCGCUGGCUGCUGGAGAUGCCUCUGGAUUUUGAAAGUAGCUUCAGAAAUGAACUUUCCAAAAAGUAGGAGAAGUGUGCAAAGUGCUUGAUACUAAAGGAAAGAUACAGUACAGCUAUCACUGAGAUCAAAAAGGCAAGCCAAGAUCCCAAACUCAAAUCAAGAUUUGAACACUACUUGCUUGUAAAGGAGAAGAAUGAGCAAUGAGAUACAGAAAAAGUAAAGAAUAAUUUACAGACUGCUUUGAUGGAGACUUGUCCUUGGUUUUUAUGAUCUUACCACUGUAACGUUUCUUCUGCAUUAUAUACAUCCUUGAAAAAUACUUCAGUUCAUUUCAACAGAUGGCCAUAAGGGAUUUCAUAAAGAGAACAUGCCAGAUUAGGAAUACAUUUUAAAGAAUGACAGCCAAGAAUGAAGCAAUUUUUGUUGACUGAGUCCGAGCAAUCUAGACAUCUUGCAUAUUACACCUUGUCAUAAGGAACUAAAUAGAACAGAGCUGAGGAAGUAUGUUUAAGUGUAUAUGCCAUGGAGGGAUUUAAUUCUGCCAAACUCUUAAUUUUUGAUGGACUCUGAGAGGUUAGUGAAUGAUCCUUUAAUUUCAUUAGCCUUGCACUUUGAACACUGGAUAAAGGUAUUUUAUUUAUUGCUUAAAUUGAAACCAUUUUUAUCUUCAGAUACGGGCAUAUUUUCCUCUGUGAAAGUAAUAAACUUUUCAUUAUGACUGCCUA